rnacentral:rRNA from 2 species
UCAGGCGUAGUCGAUGGACAACGGGUUGAUAUUCCCGUACCGGCGCUGACGCGCCCAUGCUGAACCUGGUUAUGCUAACCGUUCUGGUUCUUGUUCUGCUUUCGGGUGGGGCUUGGACUGGUCGGGAUCCUGGCUGGUAGUAGGCAUGCGAU